GACGAACGCUGGCGGCGUGCCUAAUACAUGCCAGUCGAGCGAGCGGAACCAACAGAUUUACUUCGGUAAUGACGUUGGGAAAGCGAGCGGCGGAUGGGUGAGUAACACGUGGGGAACCUGCCCCUAAGUCUGGGAUACCAUUUGGAAACAGGUGCUAAUACCGGAUAAGAAAGCAGAUCGCAUGAUCAGCUUUUAAAAGGCGGCGUAAGCUGUCGCUAAGGGAUGGCCCCGCGGUGCAUUAGCUAGUUGGUAAGGUAACGGCUUACCAAGGCAACGAUGCAUAGCCGAGUUGAGAGACUGAUCGGCCACAUUGGGACUGAGACACGGCCCAAACUCCUACGGGAGGCAGCAGUAGGGAAUCUUCCACAAUGGACGCAAGUCUGAUGGAGCAACGCCGCGUGAGUGAAGAAGGUUUUCGGAUCGUAAAGCUCUGUUGUUGGUGAAGAAGGAUAGAGGUAGUAACUGGCCUUUAUUUGACGGUAAUCAACCAGAAAGUCACGGCUAACUACGUG
rnacentral:rRNA from 1 species